rnacentral:rRNA from 1 species
AAGGCGGGUGCUAAUACAUGCAAGUCGAGCGGACAGAAGGGAGCUUGCUCCCGGAUGUUAGCGGCCCCAUGGGUGAGUAACACGUGGGUAACCUGCCUGUAAGACUGGGAUAACUCCGGGAAACCGGAGCUAAUACCGGAUAGUUCCUUGAACCGCAUGGUUCAAGGAUGAAAGACGGUUUCGGCUGUCACUUACAGAUGGACCCGCGGCGCAUUAGCUAGUUGGUGAGGUAACGGCUCACCAAGGCGACGAUGCGUAGCCGACCUGAGAGGGUGAUCGGCCACACUGGGACUGAGACACGGCCCAGACUCCUACGGGAGGCAGCAGUAGGGAAUCUUCCGCAAUGGACGAAAGUCUGACGGAGCAACGCCGCGUGAGUGAUGAAGGUUUUCGGAUCGUAAAGCUCUGUUGUUAGGGAAGAACAAGUGCAAGAGUAACUGCUUGCACCUUGACGGUACCUAACCAGAAAGCCACGGCUAACUACGUGCCAGCAGCCGCGGUAAUACGUAGGUGGCAAGCGUUGUCCGGAAUUAUUGGGCGUAAAGGGCUCGCAGGCGGUUUCUUAAGUCUGAUGUGAAAGCCCCCGGCUCAACCGGGGAGGGUCAUUGGAAACUGGGAAACUUGAGUGCAGAAGAGGAGAGUGGAAUUCCACGUGUAGCGGUGAAAUGCGUAGAGAUGUGGAGGAACACCAGUGGCGAAGGCGACUCUCUGGUCUGUAACUGACGCUGAGGAGCGAAAGCGUGGGGAGCGAACAGGAUUAGAUACCUGGGUAGUCCAA